UCAAAACGGGCCAGUUCGAAUUGAACAUGGUUCACUUCAAACUGGUUCUGCACACCCCUACAGGAAGGCAGAAGUGGUUCUGAGUUGUGGUUUGGAAGCCAUGAUAGGGUGGAUGCCCACAAGCUGAAACGUAAUCCUGCCAAGGUGAAGGUGAUGAUGGUUAGUAGAAGACCUGUUCAAGAAGUGUUUUGAAAAGAGAAGCCUUCCUCGCUGCUGUUUUCUCAUCUCCUGCUGAGUCUGCCUCACUUCAGAAGUCUGCCCCCUCCCAAUCUGGUAGUAAGGAAGUAACUAUUUCCACAAAAACUUGGAAAAUAUUUGAUUCAACAACAGUCAAUGGAGAGAUAUCAAAGUGAUAUGGAGAAUUUUCUGGCUAGUUCCAGCCCCUGGAUCCUGCAGACUAGAGGACCACUCAGAUGAUGCAAGCCAUGCAGAGUUGGCAGUGUGCUUCAAAAAGAAAAAAGAAGGAAGGAAGGAAAAGCAGCUGCUUCGAAAAUUAAAAAUAAACA